AUAUUUUCUGGGCCUGGCUGUUCAAGCUGCUGUUUGUGGGGGGCUCAGUAUAUGAUUAGAGUGGACAUUUCCUCUCUUGGAGAACUUUGAUGGAGUCCUCAGAGGUCGUCUAACUCUGGACCCUCUUCUCCUAUAACUAGAGAGAGGGGUAGACCAUCCCCUGAUAAAGUGAAGGCCGGUGAAACUGGCAAGCAUGUUUCAUCCCUGUACUAAAGAGCUAUGGAUUCCUCUGUGACUCUUCUAAUAGACAGCCUUUGUGCAAGUUUUUCUUCCCCCCUUGGAAGAUGAAUUGCAUUUUAUCAGUUAUCUCAGAGAAGCACUUUGAAAUGAAG
rnacentral:lncRNA from 1 species